UGGGGAAUAUUGGACAAUGGGCGAAAGCCUGAUCCAGCCAUGCCGCGUGAGUGAUGAAGGCCCUAGGGUUGUAAAGCUCUUUCGCCGGUGAAGAUAAUGACGGUAACCGGUAAAGAAGCCCCGGCUAACUUCGUGCCAGCAGCCGCGGUAAUACGAAGGGGGCUAGCGUUGUUCGGAAUUACUGGGCGUAAAGCGCGCGUAGGCGGGUCAUUAAGUCAGGGGUGAAAUCCCGGGGCUCAACCUCGGAAUUGCCUCUGAUACUGGUGACCUCGAGUCCGAGAGAGGUGAGUGGAACUCCGAGUGUAGAGGUGAAAUUCGUAGAUAUUCGGAAGAACACCAGUGGCGAAGGCGGCUCACUGGCUCGGUACUGACGCUGAGGUGCGAAAGCGUGGGGAGCAAACAGGAUUAGAUACCCCCGUAGUCC
rnacentral:rRNA from 1 species